rnacentral:rRNA from 4 species
UUGACCUCGGAUCAGUAGGGAUAC